rnacentral:rRNA from 1 species
ACGAUCGGUAGCCGGACUGAGAGGUUGAACGGCCACAUUGGGACUGAGACACGGCCCAGACUCCUACGGGAGGCAGCAGUGGGGAAUAUUGCACAAUGGGGGAAACCCUGAUGCAGCGACGCCGCGUGGAGGAAGAAGGUCUUCGGAUUGUAAACUCCUGUUGUUGAGGAAGAUAAUGACGGUACUCAACAAGGAAGUGACGGCUAACUACGUGCCAGCAGCCGCGGUAAAACGUAGGUCACAAGCGUUGUCCGGAAUUACUGGGUGUAAAGGGAGCGCAGGCGGGAAAGCAAGUUGGAAGUGAAAUCCAUGGGCUCAACCCAUGAACUGCUUUCAAAACUGUUUUUCUUGAGUAGUGCAGAGGUAGGCGGAAUUCCCGGUGUAGCGGUGGAAUGCGUAGAUAUCGGGAGGAACACCAGUGGCGAAGGCGGCCUACUGGGCACCAACUGACGCUGAGGCUCGAAAGUGUGGGUAGCAAACAGGAUUAGAUACCCUGGUAGUCCACACUGUAAACGAUGAUUACUAGGUGUUGGAGGAUUGACCCCUUCAGUGCCGCAGUUAACACAAUAAGUAAUCCACCUGGGGAGUACGACCGCAAGGUUGAAACUCAAAGGAAUUGACGGGGGCCCGCACAAGCAGUGGAGUAUGUGGUUUAAUUCGACGCA